rnacentral:rRNA from 1 species
GUCCGACGCGAAAGUCCCGCAAGGGAUGAUUAGAGUGGCAAACGGGUGAGUAACGCGUGGGCGACCUACCUUCGAGUGGGGGAUAACAUUCCGAAAGGAGUGCUAAUACCGCAUGACAUCCCGUGUUUAGAUACACGGACAUCAAAGCCGGGGAUCGUAAGACCUGGCGCUUGGAGAGGGGCCCGCGUCCGAUUAGCUAGUUGGUGAGGUAAUGGCUCACCAAGGCUUCGAUCGGUAUCCGGCCUGAGAGGGCGGACGGACACACUGGGACUGAGACACGGCCCAGACUCCUACGGGAGGCAGCAGUGGGGAAUUGUUCACAAUGGGCGCAAGCCUGAUGACGCAACGCCGCGUGGAGGAUGAAGACCUUCGGGUCGUAAACUCCUUUCGACCGAGAUGAAGACCCUCCGGGCUAAUACCCCGGAGGAUUGACAGUAUCGAGGGAAGCAGCCCCGGCUAACUCUGUGCCAGCAGCCGCGGUAAUACAGGGGGGCAAGCGUUGUUCGGAAUUACUGGGCGUAAAGGGUUCGUAGGUGGCUUGCUUAGUCAGACGUGAAAUCCCUCAGCUCAACUGGGGAACUGCGUCUGAUACUGGCGAGCUUGAGUGCAGGAGAGGAAUGCGGAAUUCCAGGUGUAGCGGUGAAAUGCGUAGAUAUCUGGAGGAACACCGGUGGCGAAGGCGGCAUUCUGGACUGCAACUGACACUGAGGAACGAAAGCCAGGGGAGCAAACGGGAUUAGAUACCCCGGUAGUCCUGGCCCU